UACGUAGGGUGCGAGCGUUGUCCGGAAUUAUUGGGCGUAAAGAGCUUGUAGGCGGUUUGUCGCGUCUGCCGUGAAAUUUCGAGGCUCAAACCUCGAACUUGCGGUGGGUACGGGCAGACUAGAGUGUGGUAGGGGAGACUGGAAUUCCUGUGUAGCGGUGAAAUGCGCAGAUAUCAGGAGGAACACCGAUGGCGAAGGCAGGUCUCUGGGCCACUACUGACGCUGAGAAGCGAAAGCAUGGGGAGCGAACAGG
rnacentral:rRNA from 1 species